AAAUAUGAUAGAACUUGUUGUUUGAUGUAUAGUUGGUGUUGUCUUAGAAGUAAAGGCUUUCUACUACUGGCUUCUUCAUGCAUGGAUCUCACACACUUCUUAAUAAUAAUGUUCUUUUGUUUGUGAGUUUCAUUUGUAGAGUAGUUAAACUAUUGAUAGCCCAAUGAGCUGUUAUAUUAGUAUGGCCCCUUUAAUCUUUUGUAUGGUUGUAGGAGAUGAUGCUAACUGUGGCAACCAAGAAGCUGAAACAAGGGCCUACCUUCAGAAGUUUAGAAAGCUGCUUUUAUUUUCUGAGCAACAAUUACUUGGGCUUGAGUUCACAUUCUAUAGUUUCAAAAGCUGUUGCAAAGGCAGCCCUAGCACAUGGAAUGGGCCCAAGGGGUUCUGUUUUAAUCUGUGGGUAUACAAGUUUCCAUGGACUGCUUGAGUCAUGCCUGGCAGACUUGAAGAAGAAAGAGGUAUUGACUUUGUUCUAUGUAUUGCAAUCAAUUGUUCAUUGGGAGUUAGGAUCAUUUGUACAUUUUAUCAAUUUAUUUUUACAUUUACUUACUGAAAAGAUUAAUUUAUUCUUCUCCGUUGUGUUAACACUUGCUGGUAUGGAAUAAUGAAACAUUACAAUAGAGGGACUGCAAUGUGUAAA